CAGCAUUUAAUAUCUAUUGACACGUGAGAUAGCAUACACUAGAAUCGAGGAUAUCAUCAGCAUUUAAUAUCCAUAGACAUGUGAGAUAGUAUAUGCUGGCAUCAAGGAUAUCAUCAACAUUUAAUGUCUAUUGACACGUGAGAAACAAACACAAGUGUCGAGGAUGUCAUCUGCAAUCAAUAUCUGUUGACAUGCGAAACACAAAUACUGGCGUCGAGGAAAUCAUCGGU
rnacentral:lncRNA from 1 species